rnacentral:rRNA from 1 species
AUGCCUACGGGAGGCAGCAGUGGGGGAUAUUGCACAAUGGGGGGAACCCUGAUGCAGCGACGCCGCGUGGGUGAAGAAGCGCCUCGGCGCGUAAAGCCCUGUCAGCAGGGAAGAAAAUGACGGUACCUGACUAAGAAGCCCCGGCUAACUACGUGCCAGCAGCCGCGGUAAUACGUAGGGGGCAAGCGUUAUCCGGAUUUACUGGGUGUAAAGGGAGCGCAGACGGCAGUGCAAGUCUGGAGUGAAAGCCCGGGGCUCAACCCCGGGACUGCUUUGGAAACUGCAUAGCUGGAGUGCUGGAGAGG